rnacentral:lncRNA from 1 species
GCGCUUCACUCUACUGCCUGCGGACCGGCCCAAGUCGAUCUGAGCUGCGCGUACCCCCGCGGUAGCUCGCCCGCGUGGGCUGGGGACGGGGCGGGAAAUGGCCUGCGUGGGCCUCCUCCGCUGCUCUCAUCCUGCACGGACCCGCCCUGCAUGGGCACGCCCUGCGUGCACGGGCCUGCCCGCGUGGACGUGCCCUGCGUGCACCCUUCCUUCAGGGACCCGCCCUUGAACGGCCCUCCGGACGUGGACACUCGUAUACGCCCACCCUGCGUGGGAUCUCCCUGCGUGGACCCAUCCCGCUGAGCCUCUUCUCGCGCAGCCUCCCUCUGGCCCCCUGGGAAGCUACCCUGGUUGUCCGCUGUCUCCUGGCUGGGGGGAGCUCUCAUUGAUUCUGUGAUGAUGCAUGACAGAAGAGCAUUUGUUAGCUUUGCUUUGCUUUUCUUUCUUUUUUGAGACAGCCUCGCUCUGUUGCCAGGCAGGCUUGAGUGCAGUGGCGCGAUCUCGGCUCACUGCAACCUCCGCGUCCCGGGUUCAAGCGAUUCUCCUGCCUCAGCCCCCCGAGUAGCCGGUAUUGCAGGCGCCUGCCACGACGCCCGGCUAAUUUUUGUAUUUUUAGUACAGACGGGGUUUCACCAUGUUGGCCAGGCUGGCCUCGAACUCCUGACCUCGUAAUCCACCCGCCUCUGCCU